rnacentral:rRNA from 1 species
CCUACGGGAGGCAGCAGUGGGGAAUAUUGGACAAUGGGCGCAAGCCUGAUCCAGCCAUGCCGCGUGUGUGAAGAAGGCCUUCGGGUUGUAAAGCACUUUUGUUGGGGAAGAAACCGGCCGGGUUAAUACCCUGGUUGAAUGACGGUACCCAAAGAAUAAGCACCGGCUAACUUCGUGCCAGCAGCCGCGGUAAUACGAAGGGUGCAAGCGUUACUCGGAAUUACUGGGCGUAAAGCGUGCGUAGGCGGUUCGUUAAGUCUGUCGUGAAAGCCCCGGGCUCAACCUGGGAAUGGCGAUGGAUACUGGCGGGCUAGAGUGUGUCAGAGGAUGGUGGAAUUCCCGGUGUAGCGGUGAAAUGCGUAGAGAUCGGGAGGAACACCAGUGGCGAAGGCGGCCAUCUGGGACAACACUGACGCUGAGGCACGAAAGCGUGGGGAGCAAACAGGAUUAGAUACCCUGGUAGUCCACGCCCUAAACGAUGCGAACUGGACGUUGGGCACACUUAGGUGCUCAGUGUCGAAGCUAACGCGUUAAGUUCGCCGCCUGGGGAGUACGGUCGCAAGACUGAAACUCAAAUGAAUUGACGG